GUGCUUGCUUCGGCAGCACGUAUACUAAAAUUGGAACGAUACAGAGAAGAUUAGUAUGGUCCCUGCACAAGGAUGACAUGCAAGAUCACUCUCCUGUAGCCAUCUGG